CAGCCACCAACAGGCAACAUUGAGUGGACACAGGGGGUUUUGUCAUUUAUAGCACGGUACAUCAAUCAAGGCUGUGUCAUUUGCAACACAAGUGAAUUUGUUAAUUUCUUAUCAAAUUUUAGUGUUAACCUCUUAUCAUACUCUGCUACUUUAAAUAUUUUUUAAUUCAAUGCAAGUAUCCUUUCGUUUCUCAAAGGAGAAAUACAUUUUUUUUGUAAGUUGGUACAUUUAGCUGAUGUUAACUGCCUUUUUGACCAUCUUUUUCUUUUUAAGUACGAUGUUAAACUGAAAGUUUUUAAGAAGCUUAAUUCUUCUCACUUUUUCAGUUCCAAGUGAAAGUGAAGAAGCACCUGAACGAGGAAUUGCACUGGAUUUUGAUGGCAAUGCCUUACAAGCCAUUGCUGAAGUUUACAGGAAUAAGGGUAAUGAGGCCUUUAAGAAAGGAGAUUUCCUCGAUGCUAUUCACUUUUACACAGAAGGAAUUAAAGUGAACUGCAAGGACAAAGAACUGAAGGCCAAACUGUACAACAACAGAGCAAUUGCACAUUUUAAACUUGGAAAUCACGAGGAUUCACUGAGUGAUGCAAAAGCUGCCACUGAGUUGCAACCAACUUUCCUCAAGGCAAUUGUGAGAGG